CCUUUUAAGGGAGACCUACACCCCUCAAAUCUUGAAAGCAAAAUGCAAAUAGAGAUUGAGUUGGUCUAACCGAGGUCGGUCGCUUCUACUUGAAAUGUUAAGUGCUUUCAAACUAUGAUUUGGUUCGUUUGGGGCUAUUAGCUCAGGUGGUUAGAGCGCACCCCUGAUAAGGGUGAGGUCCCUGGUUCGAGUCCAGGAUGGCCCACCUGAAUCAAUUAAAAAUGAAAAAUGUAAAAUUAAAAAUUGAAUCUUGCUAAUUUUUAAUUUUUAGUUAUAAAUUUUUAAUUGUGUUGGGGGGUUUAGCUCAGUUGGUAGAGCGCUUGCUUUGCAAGCAGGAUGUCAGCGGUUCGAGUCCGCUAAUCUCCACCUGUAAAACGAGAUGAGAAAUCAGCAACAUGACAUGUAUUUAUGAUGUCAGACUGCUGAGAGAUUCUCAGCCAGAACCUUGAAAACUGCAUAGUAACGCGAAAUUAGCAGGCAGACGCAGACAUUCAAUAGAAUGAUUGUGUUUGCAAAGGUGAAACACCAAAUGUAUUG
rnacentral:tRNA from 1 species